rnacentral:rRNA from 1 species
GACGAACGCUGGCGGCGUGCCUAACACAUGCAAGUCGAACGGAGUUAAGGAGCUUGCUCCUUAACUUAGUGGCGAACGGGUGAGUAACGCGUGAGGAACCUGCCUUUCAGAGGGGGACAACAGUUGGAAACGACUGCUAAUACCGCAUAACGCGUAGAGGUCGCAUGGCCUUUACGCCAAAGAUUUAUCGCUGAAAGAUGGCCUCGCGUCUGAUUAGCUAGUUGGUGAGGUAACGGCCCACCAAGGCGACGAUCAGUAGCCGAACUGAGAGGUUGAUCGGCCACAUUGGGACUGAGACACGGCCCAGACUCCUACGGGAGGCAGCAGUGGGGAAUAUUGCGCAAUGGGGGAAAUCCUGACCCAGCGACGCCGCGUGAGGGAAGAAGGUCUUCGGAUUGUAAACCUUGUUAACAGGGACGAAAAAAAUAGACGGUACCUGAAUAGAAAGCCACGGCUAACUACGUG